UAGUCCACGCCGUAAACGAUGUCAACUAGCCGUCGGGCUCAUUAUAAGGGUUUGGUGGCGCAGCUAACGCGAUAAGUUGACCGCCUGGGGAGUACGCCGGCAACGGUAAAACUCAAAGGAAUUGACGGGGGGCCCGCACAAGCGGUGGAGCAUGUGGUUUAAUUCGAUGCAACGCGAAGAACCUUACCUACCCUUGACAUCCUCAGAACUUGUUAGAGAUAACUUGGUGCCUUCGGGAAUUGAGUGACAGGUGCUGCAUGGCUGUCGUCAGCUCGUGUCGUGAGAUGUUGGGUUAAGUCCCGCAACGAGCGCAACCCUUUUCGUUAGUUGCCAGCAUGUUAUGAUGGGGGACUCUAGCGAUACUGCCGGCGUAAGCCGAGAGGAAGGUGGGGACGACGUCAAAUCAUCAUGGCCUUUAUGCCUAGGGCGACACACGUGCUACAAUGGACAGGACAAUGGGUAGCCAACCCGCGAGGGGGAGCCGAAUCUCUAAAGCCUGUUCUCAGUUCGGAGUU
rnacentral:rRNA from 1 species